UACGUAGGGUGCAAGCGUUGUCCGGAAUUAUUGGGCGUAAAGAGCUCGUAGGCGGUCUGUCGCGUCGGCUGUGAAAACCCGGAGCUCAACUCCGGGCCUGCAGUCGAUACGGGCAAACUAGAGUACUGCAGGGGAGACUGGAAUUCCUGGUGUAGCGGUGAAAUGCGCAGAUAUCAGGAGGAACACCGGUGGCGAAGGCGGGUCUCUGGGCAGUAACUGACGCUGAGGAGCGAAAGCGUGGGGAGCAAACAGG
rnacentral:rRNA from 1 species